rnacentral:tRNA from 1 species
GCAAUGGUGGUUCAGUGGUAGAAUUCUCGCCUGCCACGCGGGAGACCCGGGUCGAUUACCGGCCAAUGCA